CCUACGGGCGGCAGCAGUGGGGAAUAUUGGACAAUGGGGGGAACCCUGAUCCAGCCAUGCCGCGUGUGUGAAGAAGGCCCUCGGGUUGUAAAGCACUUUCAGUGAGGAAGAACGCCUGGUAGUUAAUACCCAUCAGGAAAGACAUCACUCACAGAAGAAGCACCGGCUAACUCCGUGCCAGCAGCCGCGGUAAUACGGAGGGUGCGAGCGUUAAUCGGAAUUACUGGGCGUAAAGCGCGCGUAGGUGGCUUGAUAAGCCGGUUGUGAAAGCCCCGGGCUCAACCUGGGAACGGCAUCCGGAACUGUCAAGCUAGAGUGCAGGAGAGGAAGGUAGAAUUCCCGGUGUAGCGGUGAAAUGCGUAGAGAUCGGGAGGAAUACCAGUGGCGAAGGCGGCCUUCUGGACUGACACUGACACUGAGGUGCGAAAGCGUGGGUAGCAAACAGGAUUAGAUACCCCUGUAGUC
rnacentral:rRNA from 1 species